AUUUACAAAUAUGUGAAACAUUCACUUUUGUUUGACUUGGCACCUGCAAAAAGACUCGAAAAUGUGACAUUGGCUUGUGGGAUACGACAAUCUCUCUCUCCAUCUUCUACUUUCUCUUUUUUCCUCUUUUCUUCCUUCUUUCUCAUUCACUCUUUUCCUCCCAAAAUCCCCAAAAGCUCUCUUACUCUCUCACUCCACUCUUCCAUUCUGCUAGAACCAUCGUCGACACCACCACGAUCACAACCCAUGAUCAACUGUGAGAGAGUUAUGACAUUGAACGUAGAUGCAAUUAUUUUGGUUUGGAUUCAGACUAUAGGCCUCAAGCACAACAGGUAACUCCACAACAGAUACAUACACAAUGUUUUGGUUGCCCCCAAAAGGAGUUGGAGAUUAUGAUUCUUAGGAAUGUCAUUUUGAAGAUGCAUGGAGAUCACAAGUCAACAAUUAUUAAGAUGAAGUUGUUGCUAUUUUUAUGCGUUUUGUUUGGUGUAACAUGUGAUGUUUUAUUGUUGAUAUUAGCUCUGAAAUGAGUUUACUGUAGUUGAUGUAAUUUUCUUGAGGUUCAUGUAGUAGAUUUGUGGUAAGUAUGUAGUUAUGAUUGAGUUUGUUGUAGCAGAAAUUGUGGUAUUUGGAACUAUUAAUGUAUUUUGUUUUUGCAUCAAUUGUGGCUCCAACGAUCUUGGUGUCCCUUUCUUUAA